CCAACAAGUGCCACGUAUAUAUGAACAUAAAAAGGAUCGUAGUGUACAUUUGCAUUUUACGUAUACGUACGUAAUGCCAUAAACAGCUACAAUUAGCGUGAAACCGCCGUUGAAGGGUAUUUAGGUGAUUUUACUUUUGUAAGACCGAACGCGAACCCUAACCCUCGAUGCUUCUUCCUUCUCUAUAUAUAUUCUCCCACCAAUGUCGUCUCCUCCCAGUCAUGGAGCGCCGGGAAUCAUCGAUCCCUCUUUCUCUUCUUCCUCCGUUUCUCCGAUUUCUUUCUGAAAUAAGAGGCUAUGAUGACCAAAAUCUACCUAUUUUAUGAGAGGGCUAAUCUCCUCUCUGAUUAAGGUACAUUCCAAUGGAUCCUUCUGAGCCUCCGCCGCUUUCUUGAUCUGCUAUUUGUGCGCGCCGGUAAGCCUCGGCCCUUAUUCUUACUUCAUUUCUCCGUCCUGUUUCCGAUAUGAGAGGCUGUGAUGCCCAAAAUCUACCUAUUUUAUGAGAGGGCUAAUCUCCUCUCUGAUUAAGGUACAUUCCAAUGGAUCCUUCUGAGCCUUCUCUACUUUCUUAUUUUUCUCCGAUUUGAUCAAGAUAGAUCUGUGCUACUGGCCGUUGGCGUGAUGAUCCCUUUCUAGGAAUGCAACACAUGUCGAAUAAAUAAAUCAGACUACAAUUAUCUGAUCAACGGCGACAUCGAUUUUGUUUCCGAUCGCGUCUUUUGUUGCUUCGAAUCGCACUUGUUUUCUUGUUUCGUUUUCGGUUUCUUUUCUCUAAGACAACAAUGCAAGUCUGUGAAAUCGAGUAGUACCUGUGCACGAUAAGCCGAUGCUCCGGACUCCUAAGGGAAGAAGGAAGGUAGCAUGGUAGGGUGCACAGAGAGGAAAGAACGGGUCAUCAUGUCUGCUCUCGUUGACGCCUUCGGGCAUUGAUCCUGCGGGCCUGGAUUCGACCCACAACCAAUCCCAUUCUUGUUUCUUCUCUGUUCUCUUUCCUUCUGCUUCUCCUUAUAUUUUUUUUUGCCAUUCGAUGCAGUUUGCUUCGUAUCAUAUAUCAGACGGCGUAAUGGAAUUGUGAUACGUAGUGGUAAUUUUCUAUUUUUCUUGAUGCUUGGGCUUUAAAAGUAGUUUUUCUAUUGCUUAUAAAAAGAUUUAUUAUGAUGUUUUACUUAUUUCUGCUCUUAUAAAUUUGCCAUUCAUAUGCCUUUUGGGAAUAUAUAUAUAUAUAUAUAUAUAUAUAUAUAUAUAUAUAUAUAUAUAUAUAUAUAUUCUCAUUCAUUCAGUCUAUAUAUAUAUAUAUAUAUAUAUAUAUAUUCUCAUUCAUUCA
rnacentral:lncRNA from 1 species